rnacentral:misc_RNA from 1 species
ACCAACUCAUAAGCAUUAUGCACAGGUUCACACUGAAUCGCUCCAGUAUCAUAUAAACAAUGGAUCUAUCAUACAUAAACACAGGUGUUUUGUCAAUGGACAUAUGUCCGUUCUCAAUAUCCAGUGUAGCUUGUGCUAAAACCUAAAAAAAAUCUGGUGUCCCUUUAGCCAACGAAAGGUCGCUCGUCCUAUAUAGAUUUG